AUUGAACGCUGGCGGCAGGCCUAACACAUGCAAGUCGAGCGAGCGGCGGACGGGUGAGUUAUGCCUGGGAAUUGCCCAGUCGAGGGGGAUAACAGUUGGAAACGACUGCUAAUACCGCAUACGUUUGGAUUUCCCAGGUGGGAAUAGCUAGUGGGUGGGGUAAUGGCUCACCAAGGCGACGAUCCCUAGCUGGUCUGAGAGGAUGAGGAGACACACGGGAACUGAGACACGGUCCAGACUCCUACGGGAGGCAGCAGUGGGGAAUAUUGCACAAUAGGGGAAACCCUGAUUCAGCCAUGCCGCGUGUGUGAAGAAGGCCUUCGGGUUGUAAAGCACUUUCAGCGAGGAGGCGUUACUCGCAGAGGAAGCACCGGCUAACUCCGUGCCAGCAGCCGCGGUAAUAC
rnacentral:rRNA from 1 species